UCUGCUACUUCUGCGAUUUCUGUGACUUCUGAGAUUUCUGUGACUUCUGCUACUUCUGCGAUUUCUGUGACUCCUGCGAUUUCUGCAACUUACCACCGUAUGAAAAAGCUACAUCUGUCCACACAGAAAAUUGCAUCUCAACAAACCUGUCAUAGGUACCCGAACUACAUUUCAGUCACUCAGUAAAGUGAUAACUCAAAAUAUCAUUGUCAGCAGAUCUGGAGAAAUUGCCACUGCGUCUUUAGACCGUUUUCGUCAGACGAGAGACACAGUUCUGGUUGCUGUACGUAUCUAUCCACAUCAAGGCUGCUGGGAGAGACUCGUGAAGAUUCAAGAGAGCUCUUACAGGAUUUGCAGUUUAAAAGUGACAUUAUUGCGAAAUAAGUGUCCAGAUGAGUGAUUAAACUGUGUUUUAUUGAAGUUGUUGUGCAAUUUUAAAGGAAUAAUAAAUGUUAAAUACA